UUUUUGGGUUUUUUUUAAUUGUUUUCAACAAGGUAGAGUCAGAGCCUGGCAUAGCUUGCUAUCCUAUCUGCUGGAUGGGUUUUGCUCAUUGUUGUAACGUACAUGUAUAGUUGCCAACAUCUUCUCUACUUCAUAUGCUCUCUGAUGGAUAGUUGUCUUAUCAAACCACAUCUCCUGAACCUAUUGGUUUUUUUUGAGUUACAGAAUCAAU
rnacentral:lncRNA from 1 species